rnacentral:rRNA from 1 species
GUUUGAUUCUGGCUCAGAACGAACGCUGGCGGCGUGGAUAAGACAUGCAAGUCGUGCGCGGAAAUCAAAGUAGCAAUAUUUUGGUUUCUGAGCGGCGAAAGGGUGAGUAACACGUGGGUAAUUUGCCGCGAAGACUGGAACAACUUGCCGAAAGGCGAGCUAAUGCCGGAUGUGGUUCUUUGAUGACAUCAUCAGACAACCAAAGCUGGGGACCGUAAGGCCUGGCGCUUCGCGAUAAACCCGCGUCCUAUCAGCUAGUUGGCGAGGUAACGGCUCACCAAGGCGAAGACGGGUAGCUGGUCUGAGAGGACGACCAGCCACACUGGAACUGAGACACGGUCCAGACACCUACGGGUGGCAGCAGUCGAGAAUUUUUCUCAAUGGGCGCAAGCCUGAAGGAGCGACGCCGCGUGGGGGAUGAAUGGCUUCGGCCCGUAAACCCCUGUCAUUUGUGAACAAACCUUUCAGGUUAACAGCCUGAAAGCUGAUAGUAGCAGAAGAGGAAGGGACGGCUAACUCUGUGCCAGCAGCCGCGGUAAUACAGAGGUCCCAAGCGUUGUUCGGAUUCACUGGGCGUAAAGGGUGCGUAGGUGGCCGGGAAAGUUCGGUGUGAAAGCUCCAAGCUUAACUUGGAAAUGUCAUCGAAAACUUCCCGGCUUGAGGAUUGAAAGGGAGACUGGAAUUCUCGGUGUAGCAGUGAAAUGCGUAGAUAUCGAGAGGAACACCGGUGGCGAAGGCGAGUCUCUGGGCAAUUCCUGACACUGAGGCACGAAAGCUGGGGGAGCAAACAGGAUUAGAUACCCUGGUAGUCCCGGCCCUAAACGGUGCGCAUUUGCUGUGAGCGGAAUCGACCCCGCUCGUGGCGGAGCUAACGCGUUAAAUGCGCCGCCUGGGGAGUACGGCCGCAAGGUUAAAACUCAAAGAAAUUGACGGGGGCCU